AGCCGCAGACAAAGUAAAUUUUUGGCGGAAUUUAUUUUAUUUUGUUUCCUGUAUGCAAUUGAGCGGAAGUUAUCUUUUUUUUUAAAUUAAAUUGUUGUAAAUGUUCUUAAAAUGUUUAAUUAAAUUAAAAAAUGGGCAUUUGUUCAGAGUUUGAGAGUUAUAUAACACCAGCAAAAUAAACUUCUUAAAAAACUGGGAUUUUGUUUUGUAAAAGAAAAAACAGAAACAUAUACUCGUAUGUAAAUAAUACAUGCAACGAUUUGCAGUUUCAAUUUUUUAAAAAUGCAGUUUCUACAGUUCACCAAAGAAUACCACUCCAUGGAAACAGGAUCAGAAUCAUUUCUCAAAUUAGCCGUUCGGAUUCAGCUUAAAACUGAAGGUCCCCCAUCCCUGACAACAGUACUCGCACACACGAAUGGUUGAGCGUUGUAAGUCGCUGGGCCCUAUAGUUCUCAACGGAGAGUUGCGCCACCCAAAUAAAAAUUUAUUUUUAUCCAAAUUAUGACCACCAUGUUGACAAGAAUACUUCCAUUUUGAAAAGGAAUCGUAAGCUAUAACGCCGCCUAACAUUACUGCACGAGGAUUUAAAAGAACGUUUCGAGAUCAAUUUUAUUGUGACGUGCUAAAGCAAUACUUCAUGACUGUCAAGAAUAUAAAUACAGACUACGGUGUACGGUCAUAGAUUCUUCGUCAGAAUAAAUGUGCGAUUUCUAAGAACGGCAUUGCAAGUGUGGAUGAAAGGUACACCUGAUCGCAAGCUGGAAGAAGAAUUAUUUUCAGGAAAGAUUUUUACUAUUUUGAAGACGCAACAAACAACUUCUGAGUUUGAACCGGAAAACCGGUGCUUUCGUUUGAAAAAACACUAUUUUAAACCCGGAAAUCGAAAAUUUAUAUUCCUGGGUUAGUAUUUUCAAACCACCUGAUUGAGUAAUGGAACAUUUGUUAUCCUUAAACGUUUUUAAACGUGAAGAAAAAGUCCCAGGUUUAUAAAAAUAAUAGAAAUAAUAACAAAAAGACAACAUUAUUUGCGAUGAAAAAAUAAAACCACUUUUCAACAAAACAAAACUUUAUAAAGAAUUUGUUAAACAAUAUUUAAGAAAGCCAGAAUAUUAAA